UUAAGUUAAUAAGGGCGCACGGUGGAUGCCUUGGCACUAGAAGCCGAAGAAGGACGUGACAAACGACGAAAUGCUUUGGGGAGCUGUAAGUAAGCGCUGAUCCAGAGAUGUCCGAAUGGGGGAACCCACUAACUAAUGGUUAGUAUCCAUAACUGUUAAGGUUAUGAGAAGGAAGACGCAGUGAACUGAAACAUCUAAGUAGCUGCAGGAAGAGAAAGCAAACGCGAUUGCCUUAGUAGCGGCGAGCGAAACGGCAGGAGGGCAAACCGAAGUGUUUACACUUCGGGGUUGUAGGACUGCGACGUGGGACUUUAAAAGGAUAGAAGAAUUACCUGGGAAGGUAAGCCAAAGAGAGUAAAAGCCUCGUAUUUAAAAUUCUUUUGAGCCCUAGCAGUAUCCUGAGUACGGCGAGACACGUGAAAUCUCGUUGGAAUCUGGGAGGACCAUCUCCCAACCCUAAAUACUCUCUAGUGACCGAUAGUGAACCAGUACCGUGAGGGAAAGGUGAAAAGCACCCCGGGAGGGGAGUGAAAUAGAACCUGAAACCGUGUGCCUACAACAAGUUCGAGCCCGUUAAUGGGUGAGAGCGUGCCUUUUGUAGAAUGAACCGGCGAGUUACGAUAUGAUGCGAGGUUAAGUUGAAGAGACGGAGCCGUAGGGAAACCGAGUCUUAAUAGGGCGAUUUAGUAUCAUGUUGUAGACCCGAAACCAUGUGACCUACCCAUGAGCAGGUUGAAGGUGAGGUAAAACUCACUGGAGGACCGAACCAGGGCACGUUGAAAAGUGCUUGGAUGACUUGUGGGUAGCGGAGAAAUUCCAAACGAACUUGGAGAUAGCUGGUUCUCUCCGAAAUAGCUUUAGGGCUAGCGUCGAUGUUAAGUCUCUUGGAGGUAGAGCACUGUUUGGGUGAGGGGUCCAUCUCGGAUUACCAAUCUCAGAUAAACUCCGAAUGCCAACGAGAUAUCAUCGGCAGUCAGACUGCGAGUGCUAAGAUCCGUAGUCGAAAGGGAAACAGCCCAGACCACCAGCUAAGGUCCCAAAAUAACUGUUAAGUGGAAAAGGAUGUGGGGUUGCACAGACAACUAGGAUGUUAGCUUAGAAGCAGCUAUUCAUUCAAAGAGUGCGUAAUAGCUCACUAGUCGAGUGACCCUGCGCCGAAAAUGUACCGGGGCUAAAACAGUUUACCGAAGCUGUGGAUGACACAAAAGUGUCAUGGUAGGAGAGCGUUCUAUGUGUGAAGAAGGUGUACCGUGAGGAGCGCUGGAACGCAUAGAAGUGAGAAUGCCGGUAUGAGUAGCGAAAGACAGGUGAGAAUCCUGUCCACCGUAAGACUAAGGUUUCCAGGGGAAGGCUCGUCCGCCCUGGGUUAGUCGGGACCUAAGGAGAGACCGAAAGGUGUAUCCGAUGGCCAACAGGUUGAUAUUCCUGUACUAGAGUAUAUAGUGAUGGAGGGACGCAGUAGGCUAACUAAACCGGACGAUUGGAAGAGUCCGGCUAAGCAGUGAGGUGUAAGAUGAGUCAAAUGCUUAUCUUUAUAACAUUGAGCUGUGAUGGGGAGCGAAUUUUAGUAGCGAAGUUAGUGAUGUCACACUGCCAAGAAAAGCUUCUAGCGUUUAAUGAUACUCUACCCGUACCGCAAACCGACACAGGUAGUCGAGGCGAGUAGCCUCAGGUGAUCGAGAGAACUCUCGUUAAGGAACUCGGCAAAAUGACCCCGUAACUUCGGGAGAAGGGGUGCUGACUUAGGUCAGCCGCAGUGAAUAGGCCCAAGCAACUGUUUAUCAAAAACACAGCUCUCUGCUAAAUCGUAAGAUGAUGUAUAGGGGGUGACGCCUGCCCGGUGCUGGAAGGUUAAGAGGAGGGUUUAGCGCAAGCGAAGAUCUGAAUUGAAGCCCCAGUAAACGGCGGCCGUAACUAUAACGGUCCUAAGGUAGCGAAAUUCCUUGUCGGGUAAGUUCCGACCCGCACGAAAGGCGUAAUGAUUUGGGCACUGUCUCAACGAGAGACUCGGUGAAAUUUUAGUACCUGUGAAGAUGCAGGUUACCCGCGACAGGACGGAAAGACCCCAUGGAGCUUUACUGCAGUUUGAUAUUGAGUAUCUGU
rnacentral:rRNA from 1 species